rnacentral:lncRNA from 1 species
ACAAGACUUUAAUAUUUUUAGCGGGAAACUAAAAUAUAAGACUUCCCAGACGACUUACAAGUAAGUCGUCUGGUUUAAAUUAUUUAAGCGGGAAAAAAAGAUUUUAGGCGGGAAUAUUUGGACGACUUACAUAUAAGUUGUCUAUUUUAAUUUCUUCACCAGACGACUGAAAUGUAAGUCGUCUAGACCCUAAACAUAACUCCUAAACUUAAUUAACUAACUAAACACUUUAUAAAAUCAAAUUAAACUUCAAAAGU